rnacentral:tRNA from 1 species
GACGCAUCGCGGUCGGGGCUUGGCACGGCACGGCGCUCGCCUCGCCGCGCGUGCGGGUGCAGCCCCCGCCGGGCGUCA